AGUCGUAACAAGGUUUCCGUAGGUGAACCUGCGGAAGGAUCAUUAUCGUAGGGCUUUUGUCCUGUCGAGAUAGCGUCCUUGGCCCUAUUUUUUAGGAGCACCGUUCGUUUCCUCAGCAGGCUUGCCUGCUACUGGGGAACCCCUUCAAACUCUUUGUAAACUACAGUAAUUCGUCUGAAAAAUCAAAGCAAAAAGUCAAAAG
rnacentral:misc_RNA from 1 species